UACAGAGGUGGCAAGCGUUGUUCGGAAUUACUGGGCGUAAAGGGCGCGUAGGCGGCCUUCUAAGUCAGACGUGAAAUCCCCCGGCUUAACCUGGGAACUGCGUCUGAUACUGGGAGGCUUGAGUAUGGGAGAGGGGUGUAGAAUUCCAGGUGUAGCGGUGAAAUGCGUAGAUAUCUGGAGGAAUACCGGUGGCGAAGGCGGCAUCCUGGACCAUUACUGACGCUGAGGCGCGAAAGCUAGGGGAGCAAACGGG
rnacentral:rRNA from 1 species